UUUUUUUAUGACACCGAAACUAGAAAAGAAAAUUAGGUUUGAAGCUUUGAAAUAUUCGGCCAUUGAAGACUUUGAUUAAGGUAUGUUUUUGUUUCGAUUUUUGAUAAUUUUUACGUUUUUGAUAUCGUUGUUUUAAAUACUUCAAAACCCAUGUCUUAAUUUUGUGAAUUGUUGAUGAUUUUGAAAUGUGCCAUUGAUGAAUGUUUGAGUUUCAUGAUGUUAGUUGAUGAAAUAUGAAAUAUAAGUGUUAGAUAAACAUGUUUUGUCUUUGAAUUUUUGGUGAAUUUGAGUAAUUGGGACUAAAUUGAGAAAAUAAAUUUUUGAGGGACUAAAAUGUGAAAUAAAUGACAUGCAUAGACUUGUAUGAGCUUAGUACAUAUUCGGCCAAGCUAUUGUGCAAUGAAAAUUUAAUUAUUUUGUAUUUUGUGAAAUAGGGACCAAAUUGUGAAAAAUGUGAAAUGUCAAGGGCAAAAAUGUAAUUUUCCUAUUUAUGUGUUCUUAGACUAAAUUAAAUGAAAAUAUGAUUGAAUGAGAUUUAUUUGAAUAUGUUUAGAUCAAGAAAAAAAGAAAUCGGAUUUAGAUCGGGGGAAAUCGAAAGUAGUUGAGUAGCCGAUCUAUUAGUCAACGAAAUCUGAGGUAAGUUAUUAAGCAUAUAUAUUAAUUGUAUCGUUUUAAAAAUCAGCCUAGUACCUAUGUAAUUAUGCUGAAUUGAAUGGUAUAUAUAUAUACAUGUAGUGAUAAAAUUAUUGAAAUAAGAUGUAUUGAGUUGUUGAUUUUCGACACUAAGUGUGCGAAUUUAAUUAUAAAGCACUAAGUGUGCGAGUUUAAUUGUAGAGCACUAAGUGUGCGAGUUUAAUGGUAAAGCACUAAGUGUGCGAGUUUGAUUAUUGAGCACUAAGUGUGCGAGCUUAUUAAAUAUUUUCGAAUAACUAUUAGCAUUGAGUAUUUGUCUUAUUGAGAAAUCUUGAUUAGUAAAAUGAGUAAACACUUGGAAUUUUUGAGUAAUAACCAUUAUGGUUGUAAUUAAGGUUAAGCUUUGCAGGUAUUAAAUCUAUUGGUGAUUAUAUUUGGAAUCAUAUAUAUAUAAUAUGAAUCUUUAUAUUACAUGAUUCUUUAUAUUACAUGAUGAGGAAAUGCAUAAUGUAUUUGGUCUUGUGUUUAAAUUUGAAGAAAUGUUUAUGGUUGUGUAAUUAUAUUGAUUUUAGUUAAAUCAUAGUAAUAAGUGAAUAAUUAUCGUAUGAUAUGGUAAGCUAAAGGAAGAUGAUUUAGUAGUAUGAAUUGGUUGAAUAUUAUUUGAGAUAUCGGGUUAAAUAGUAGAGUUUAUUUGCUUAUAACUUACUAAGCUAAAUUAGCUUACAAUGUGUUUGAUAAUUGUUUUGAUGUAUAGAUUUUGGUGUUCGCUACGUGUUCGGGGAUCGUCAGCUAAGCUCGUCACACUAUCGAUAUUUUCUUUUGGUAUUUUGCUAAAUCGUUCUCAAAUAUAUGGCAUGUAUAGCAUAAUUAAAAUAUUGAUUUUGGAACCAAUGGGUAUAUGUUUCUAAAAGCCAUGCGAAAAUGACUUAUCUCUUUUAGUUUGAAUUCGGUAUUAAUGCAUAUGCUUUAAUGGUCUAAAUUGUGGUAUAUGUUCAUGUAAUUGUUAUGCUUAAAUGCUGCCCAAUUGUUAUAUGUAUGCUGCCUAAUUUUGAUAAAUCAAUGCUGUCAAAUUUUGUAUAUACAUGCUGUUAAAUUUUGUGUAUAAAUGCUGUCCAAAUUUGUGUAUGUAUGCUGCCUAAUUUUGGGUGAAUAAAUGCUGUCCAAAUUUUGUAUAUACAUGCUGUUAAAUUUUGUGUAUAAGUGCUGUCCAAAUUUGUGUAUGUAUGCUGCCCAAUUUUGGUGAAGCAAUGCUGUCAAAUUUUGUAAUUACAUGCUGUUAUAUUUUGUGUAUAAGUGCUGUCCAAAUUUGUAUAUGUAUGCUGCCCAAUUUUGGUGAAUCAAUGCUGUCAAAUUUUGUAUAUACAUGCUGUUAUAUUUUGUGUAUAAGUGCUGUCCAAAUUUGUAAUAUGUAGUAUAGUUAGUACAUUGAAAUGAAAUAAAUGCUUGGAUAAAUGUUUGAUUUAUGAUAUUAAAUUUUGAUUAGGUAAAUGAUAAUGAUAUGGAUGAAUUGUUGAAACAUGGUUAGUAUAUGAAACUUGAUUAAAGAUGCAUGUUUGAUUUUAUUUCGUUAUGUGAUAAUAUAUAUAUGGAAUAAAAUUUCGUGGUUGAUUUAAAAAAAAAUUGAGUUGGAUUUUGAUCGGUAAUGCCUCGUAACUCUAAUCCGGCGACGGACAAGGGUCGAGGUGUUACAAGCGGCACCAAUGGUGCCAAAGGACUAAAAUGUAACUUUCUGUAGUUUUAAGGACCUGAUAUGCAAAUUUACCAUUUUGAAUUUUGAAAGUAAAUUGCUGCUGUUGUGCGCACUAAAAUUGAAAUCUGGCUAAUUGCCUUCUAAGCCCUCCUUAUUUAUUAUUUUAAUUAAGUAAUAACUCUAUUUUAAUUUAAUAAACUAUUCUCAUUUAAUAAUUCUAUUUUAAUUUAAAAAAAUUAAGUAAACUAUUUUAAUUUAAUUUUUUAAAUUAAAAUAGAGUUAUUAAAUGAGAGAAUUCUAAUUAAGUAAUAACUCUGUUUUAAUUUAAUAAACUAUUCUCAUUUAAUAACUCUAUUUUAAUUUAAUAAACUAUUCUCAUUUAAUAAGUAUAUUUUAAUUUAAUAAACUAUUCUCAUUUAAUAAUUUUAUUUUAAUUUUAAAAAAAAUUAAAUUAAAAUAGUUUACUUAAUUUUUUAAAAUUAAAAUAGAGUUAUUAAAUGAGAAUAGUUUAUUAAAUUAAAAUAGAGUUAUUAAAUAAGAAUAGUUUAUUAAAUUAAAAUAGAGUUAUUACUUAAUUAGAAUUCUAAGUAUCUUAAUUAUCACUUAACUAAUAUUAGAUUUAAUUAAAAAAAUUAAUAGAAUAUCAGGCAUGCAUUAUUGAAAAACUAGAAGUAAUAAUAAAACUGAUCACCCAUAAAUGUAAUCCAAAUAGAAAAAAUAAAUUAUAAUUAUAAAUUAUUCUCAUCAAAUUUAGUAAAUUUUUUAAAUAAACUAUUCUCAUCAAAUUACCAAAAUAAUACAUAAAAUGUGAAUUAGUUUAUACUUUUUUAAAUAGUUUUACUUUAGGUAAAAUAUAUUUACUUUAAUAAUAAAAUAAAGGCUUUUAUGAGUAAAAAUCAUAGAUUAAGAGCUUAUUUAACUACAAAAAUAGGUUGAGGGCUUGUUUAUUAAAUAAAAAAGUGAGUUGAGGGGAAUAAAAAGAAAAUAAUAAAUAAGGAGGGCUUAGAAGGCAAUUAGCCACAUUUCAAUUUUAGUGCGCACAGCAGCAGCAAUUUACUUUCAAAAUUCAAAAUGGUAAAUUUGCAUGUCAGGUCCUUAAAACUGCAGAAAGUUACAUUUUAGUCCUUUGGCACCAUUGGUGCCGCCAAUCUCAUUGGCACCUUUGGUGCCUCCAAUGUGAUUGGCCUGAUCAGGCUGUGUCAGGUUUUUUUUCUGUUUUUUGUUUUUUUUUUGGUAUAUUUUGGUAAAUAAAAAAAUUAUAAUAUUUUGGUAAAUAAAAAAAAGUUAUAAUAUUUUAGUUAUUUUUUAUUUUUUAUAAUAAUUUUGCAAAAAACCUGAAAUUGCCAAUUAGGGGUUAAAUUGAGAAAGGUGAAAAUUUUGUGUUAAAUGUGUGAAAUUGUGAAAUUUAUGGGCUGAUAUGAAUGUAUAUGAAAUUUGUCAAGGCUUGGUUAGGGGCGAAAUUGCAUAAAAUUCAUUUCAUGAGCCUAGGGACUAAAUUGUAAAGAAGUUAAAAGUAUAGGGGUAAAAUGGUAAUUUUUUCAUAACAUGAAUUUUUUAUUAAAUUGAAUGGAUUGAGAAUCAAAUCAGUUAAAUUUAAUUAUUUAGAUCAAGAAAAGCCACGUUCGGAAUUAGAUCGAGGCAAAGAUAAAGUAGUGGAUUGAUCGGUCGAUUUUCUUCGUACUAAUUCGAGGUAAGUUCGUAUGUUAAUAAGUAUUAAAUUAUAUGUUUUUUAAAUGCUUUAUUAUAAUUUUAAUGAUAUGACUUUACGGAAAUCCUCGACGAAGAUUCGACGACUUAUGGAUUGGAUCCCGGUUGAACCUUAGGAAUAGAUAGGAUACAAAUGACAUGUCAUUAGGGGUUACCGUGUUUUGGGUGCUGGUCUCGUACGUCCUACCGGUGGCUGAUUUUUUGGCAUGUGUUGCGAUUACUUUACAGCUUGUGUGAGCAGCACCAUAUAGCUACAUCUUGACUGACAGCUUGUGUGAGCAGACCGAGUGAUGGCUCGAGAGUGAACAUCUAUAUAAGAUAUGAGAUAGAGGUGGUUUAGGCCACGUAUUGGCACUUAGUGUGCGAGGUACCCGAGUAUCCUAUAGUAUUCCAAAUGGUUCAACGGGCAUAGUGAUGAUUUAAGGUUACAUGAGUUCGAUUCGAACUAAUACAGGUAUUUAUGUGAAAUACGAUAAGUGAUUUAUAUUUAAUAUAUAAAUACAUGGCUAACAUGAUUGUGAUUGUGUGAUAGGCUUUGGGCCAAAUUAAGUUGCAUCUAUGCUUUUAUUUUUGUUUACCUAAAUUGUUGAUGAUUUGGUAAGUUGUAUUUAUUAGUCAUACAAACUUACUAAGCUUAGUUGCUUACUCCGUUUUAAUUUUCAUGUUUUAUAGUGAUUUGGAAGCUCGUUCAGUUUGGAAGUUGUCAGAGAACACGUCACACUAUCAAACUCUUAUUUUGGUAUUUUAGACUUUAUAUUUUGGGUUAAAUGGCAUGUAUAGGUAUUUUGGCUAAUGUGGCCUAUAUGUUUUGUUGUGUAUUUAGCCAAAUGAUUUGGCUUGAAAAUGGUAUAUGUGUUGAUAUGUAAAAAGGUGUUAAUAGCAUUAUGAUAUGUGGUGUAUGGUUGCUAUAUGAAUG
rnacentral:lncRNA from 1 species